ACCUGGGACAACACUCUGUGAUAGCUUUAGCAGAUUCUAAGCAUUGUAGGUUUUUUUUUGUGAUUUGGCAAGUCUAUGAUAUGCAUACAUAUCUAGUCUGGAAUAUUUGUAUUUUAUACAACCAAUGUGAUAACUCUUGUGCUGUUAGCCCAAACCAAUUGUAUGCAUUAGCCUUGGUAAAAAAAUUUCAGAUCUCUCAUGCAAACCAGUGGCAUGACCACGUUAGUAAAUCCCAUAUUAAAUACCUGUUAGUUAACUAUUGUAAUACAAAUUCAGUAUGCUAUUGUAUAAACUGGUUUUACACAUAUAUAUCCAGUUUGCUAUUGUUUUAUUAACUUCUAUUUGCACUGCCUAAUAGCACACAUUUAUCAUGGAGAAUGUUAUAAAUCUUGUAAAUAUUAUGUUGUAGGUUGCACUUUCCUUCAUAAGUAUAGUGAAUAUUACAAAAAAAAAAAAAAAAAAAAGGAUGUGGCAAUCUGUAAAGGGAGGAAGGAGGUGACGAGCUGGACACAGUCGAGCAGGAUCAAGCUUGGCACGUAGAGGCCUAGAUGCAAAACAACCACCGACAAGGAAUUUACGAGAUGAGGACGCAGAUUCUAAUGAUUCAACUCAAGCAGUAUAAGAUGUGGGCCUACCAGAAAACAUGGAUGUAGAACAAGCUGCCAAGGGGAAUAUAAGUACGGGUGGACGUUGUGUUGGAUUGGACAAAAGAUAGACAUCGUGAAAUGGUUGUAACGUUUUUGGAUGAUAAGUACAAUGCAUAUCACUACGAACUACACAAGGUGUAUUUAAAAUAUGCAUCAAAUGAAAUAACUUUAUAUCAAUGAAGUUAUUACUUAUAUCAAAGAUAGGACUCCCAAUUGGUUAGAUAUAUAAUCAACACUAAAAACCAUCCAUAAUAUAAGAGAUAAUCAUCCCAUUAUAACAACCACAAACUUCAUGGAAAGUAACAUGGUCCAUCACCUUUCUUUGUAGCAUCCAGCACAUACAAUUUCAAUCAUGAAACUUCCUAAAAAAUGAUGACCUAUAUAAUAUAUAGUCCCUAACCACUGCCUAUUGUUCUAGUUUAACACCCUUAACACUUCUCACACUGCACAUAAAAAAAGUGAGGCAUUUCAAACUUCACACCCCAAUGGCAACAAGAUUGAUACAAUCUACCAAAAUAUUUACAAAAGGU